AGGCCUGAGGUACUGGAAGGUCCUCAGGCCGAAAGGGGCUCUGCCCGCCCGAGGAUGGGCCGGCGGCCGAUUAGGUAGUUGGUGGGGUAACGGCCCACCAAGCCGAAGAUCGGUACGGGCCAUGAGAGUGGGAGCCCGGAGAUGGACACUGAGACACGGGUCCAGGCCCUACGGGGCGCAGCAGGCGCGAAACCUCCGCAAUGCGGGCAACCGCGACGGGGGGACCCCCAGUGCCGUGGCAACGCCACGGCUUUUCCGGAGUGUAAAAAGCUCCGGGAAUAAGGGCUGGGCAAGGCCGGUGGCAGCCGCCGCGGUAAUACCGGCGGCCCGAGUGGUGGCCGCUAUUAUUGGGCCUAAAGCGUCCGUAGCCGGGCCCGUAAGUCCCUGGCGAAAUCCCACGGCUCAACCGUGGGGCUUGCUGGGGAUACUGCGGGCCUUGGGACCGGGAGAGGCCGGGGGUACCCCUGGGGUAGGGGUGAAAUCCUAUAAUCCCAGGGGGACCGCCAGUGGCGAAGGCGCCCGGCUGGAACGGGUCCGACGGUGAGGGACGAAGGCCAGGGGAGCGAACCGGAUUAGAUACCCGGGUAGUCCUGGCUGUAAAGGAUGCGGGCUAGGUGUCGGGCGAGCUUCGAGCUCGCCCGGUGCCGAAGGGA
rnacentral:rRNA from 1 species